AUGUUUUUCAGGUCCACACGUGAAUGGUGCGGCGGCGGGAGGAAAUGGCACAGCUCGGUAGAUAGCGCCCUACUACUAAGACCAGAGAUAGAAGUACCCCGAGUUGGUAUAGCUUAAGGGUGUAGAGAUGAAAAGAAAGAAAUAAUACUGUAUUAAGUUUGGUUGUUUUUGGAGGUAAAAAAAUUAUAAAUGUGUUGUAAAAUGAGCUGAAUGCUUGUAAUAGUUUAGUAAUUAUGUUUCUGAUGCUUUUCUUAUACCAUCAGU
rnacentral:lncRNA from 1 species